rnacentral:tRNA from 1 species
GGGGGUUUAGCUCAGUUGGCAGAGCGUUCGCUUAGCAUGCGAAAGGUCACGUGUUCGACUCAUGUAGUCUCCA